CAGCAGCAGCCGCGGUAAAACGAAGGGUGCAAGCGUUACUCGGAAUUACUGGGCGUAAAGCGUGCGUAGGUGGUGGUUUAAGUCCGUUGUGAAAGCCCUGGGCUCAACCUGGGAAUUGCAGUGGAUACUGGGUCACUAGAGUGUGGUAGAGGAUAGUGGAAUUUCCGGUGUAGCAGUGAAAUGCGUAGAGAUCGGAAGGAACAUCUGUGGCGAAGGCGACUAUCUGGGCCAACACUGACACUGAGGCACGAAAGCGUGGGGAGCAAACAGGAUUAGAUACCCCUGUAGUCCCUGUCUCUUAUAC
rnacentral:rRNA from 1 species